UGAAGGCAUGUAAGAUUCAGCGCCAGAUCUGCUUACAUCUGAGGCUGGUAAAGAUGUUUUCUGUCUAAAAAAGUUGGAUCAGAAUGUUGAUUUUGGCUGGCAUAGAUUCACAUUGAGCCAUAG